GUACGUAAGAUAGACGUUCCUUGGCCACGUUUGUCAUUCGUUUCGGAGCGUUGGAGAGUCAGCAGCAGACGUUGAAUCUUGCGUCUUUUUUUUUGUUUAACUUUGUUACAUUUCAAUCACUCGGUGAUCUUUGCAUCUCCACAUUUGGGUAACCAAAGACUGUGUUUUGUUUUUGGUAAUGUGUCUUGAAGUGAUGAAAAUGAAAGAAAACUACCAGAAGGACACCGAGACCGCGCCUGUUCAUAAGAAGAAAUGGUCAAAGUCAAAGAGGAAGACUUUUCUGCGAGCAAAAAUCAGCGAAAAGAGACGACGGGUCCGCGCCUGGUCAACCAAGAGACGACAGUUUUGUCCGGACCGUGUUGAUGGUAACGUUACAGCUAUGCGGAAUCAAAGUUACGUACCAUCGGUUGCCAUGGCACCAAGAAACACAACACAGUAUUUAAUGGACCUGGAGUACGCUGAACGAUUAGAUGUUUCAUUUGAGACAUGUGAUGUAAGCCAUGAUUUCACAAUGCAGAUUCAUGUCCCAUUUGAUGAGAGCGUUUUCUCACUGUCGGACUCUGAUUACGACAGAUCGUUGGACUUUCAACAGCGAGACUUCGAGAAUGUGUUCUUCAGGAAUGAAAUCUGACGUAUUUCCGAAACCUGACUUGAUUUCGUCGGAACGAGACGACCGGGCGGCUGUGAAACCAUAGACAGUAAAAUCAUUGCGCAGACUCCAACUCAGGGAGGCGGAACGCUCUGCGUCACAGCUGCGUGAUGACGUGUACGCCACGCCCCGCCUCCAGUACGGCCACCACCACGUGGCCAACAGGUAAACUCGCUCCACCCUUUGUGUAUGCGGUGUUAGAGCGUUGCAGUAACCUGAUGUCGCAGUGUAAUAUGUGAACAGAUGUGCAUGCAUUGUUCUGCCUACGGAUGCAUGUGUGUUUUGAGAGACUUUUACAGGUUGCUGAUCCUCCUCGACGGAUCUCAGCUGUCUGUGCAACACACCCAGCGCCUUGGGACAAAGCCACAUGGCUGCCUGGUCAUCGCUGCUGGGUAAAUGUGGUAAAUGUUUGAAUGUCAAAUCACACAAGUGCACUCAGAUCUUCAUCUCAUGUGAGAUGAUCUUAUUUUGUGAGAACUUUUGUAAAUAUUGAUUGUAUUAAUUAUCUAUAAUUGUAUUAACUAUUAAAACAUCCAUAUGACUUUCAUGCUGAUUUUGUUUCUUGUUUAUUCAUUGUAUGAGCUUCAUUCAAAUAUAUGGGACAGGAAAAUGAGCAGAUAUGCAAAGACACAUCUGCUUGACGACAACAACAGAGUACUUAAAACUACAGUAUAGCCUAUAUAGCAAACUGACAUUUUCAUAAAGGUAUAUGGUUUGUGUUAAAUGUUAACGCACAAAGGCCUAAUGGUGGGAUAACUGCUGCAGGAUUAUGUGAUUAGGAGUUAAUGGACCCAAAAUGCAUGUAGAACAGUGGUUUUCAGCUAGGGUACUGCAAGAGACCCACGAGUAUUAAACUGUCAAAAACGUGUAGAACAUGUGAAAUGACUUUAUUUGUUCUUUCAACCACAUAUUUUACGCAUAUUGUACUCCUGGACUCGCCAAAUGAACCUGUUUUAAGAAACUGCAAGUGCUAGAGUUAAAGGUACAGUAAGUGAUUUCUGAGAAAUUCUGUUGAAAGUGGAUCUGACUGAGCACCAAAACACAUUUGUAGCCAAUCAGCAGUAAGGGGCGUGUAUACACAUUAGGGGGGAGUUGCUUGUGUUGCAUAGAAUGUUUGUGAAUUUGGGGGCGGAGCUAUCAAGAUAGGGAUGUGAUCUUUUUGGGUAGGGGUAUGUUUGUUUUGGGGAUUUUAAAUAUCAACCGUUUCUCAGAAAUUGCUACUGCACCUUUAAUAUUUGGCAUUUGUGGGGUCUUUUGAAUGUUGUUUUGUGCAAUUGGGGCCCAUGGAGUUCGGGGACUGCUGCUGGUGAGAAUGGGUACUCUUUAAGGUGAGAAUAGAAGAUGCAUGUUCAGGAAAUGUGAGCAAGUCUGUUUGUGUAUAGAGUACCUCAGAGAUGACGUAUUUUUGUAGGCCAACCCGGAAGUUAGCAGCGCAUGGGUUCCCUCGAUCGAAAGCCUAUGCAUUUUUCCCAUAGACUUUUGGAAAAUCACAAAUAAGCUGUCUUUAACAAAGGGUUAUGACACUUGCACGUUUUGUCUAUCAAGAUAAUCUUUACAGAUUAACAACAUUUAUACAUUUUGAAGCCUAAAGCCGUCAGAUAUAAAAAGUUAACAGUAGGAUAUAAACGGACUAUAGCACACCAUGGUCGCGGAUCAACGUCACCACCAAGCUUUCUCAAACUUUAUUUAAAAACAACUUUAUUUAAAAACAUGCUCGCUGAUUAUGAUCUGUGCUGUGUAUGAAUACUUGUCCACUUUUUUUUUUUUCAUGAGAAAUGCUGUCCAAAUGUCCUGUUUGUCAUGAUGACGUCUAAAGUCCCCGCCAAAGGAAGUAGUCCCUUUUAGCAACUUGUUAGCAACCGCCGUUUUUAAGACACCGUAAAGGUUUAAAAAAAUCACAAGUGGGUUAUAACUGAUGUUUCAUGUCAUAGAUCAAAACGUGAAAAUAUUUAGAGGCUUUGUUAACCACAGACGUUUCGGGCAUUUUAGCAAAAACCCAUAGACUUGAGGGUGAUGGAACUGAAAGUCCUAAAAUGCUAACUCGCUUCCGGGUUUUGUAUACAAAAACACGUCAUCUCUGAGGUACUCUCUUAGCGUCAGAAUUUAGCUUAAAAUUAACCUUUUAUGCCACCUUGAGUACAUUAAACCAUUUACACUGCAUGUAUGUACUUAAUGAAAUCAAUGGGGGUGAUCAGGUAAUGUUGAAAUACUGUUGCAACAGAGUGGUGUAGGUAUCACAUCACUUGUAGGCCAAAACAGAACGAGUUGGCAUUUUAGCACUUCCAGUUCCAUCAUGCCGAAGUCAAUGUUUUUUUUUAAACAGGAUUUUGGUAAAAUGGCUGAAAUAAGGUGUGUGGUGAACACAAGCUUAAGACACUUUCACGUUUUAUUCUACAACAUAAAAUACAUAAGUAUUACCCCACUCGUGAUUUUUAUUUUUUUUAUUAAAGCUACUACGUGUCCUAAAAAAGGUGGUUGCUAACAAGAGGCUAAAUGGGACUACAGAGGCUGUCGGGGAGAUUAAACGUUAAACUUUUACGGCCUCGUUAUGUGUAUAAUUGUACACAUAAACUAUUCUAACUAAUACUUAUAUAUAUAUAUAUAUAUAUAUAUCUCAAAAUGUUUUUAUAUAAAAACAAAGUUGUCAGAAGCUUAGUGGUGGUGAUGUUGAACUCGUGGGACCGUGGUGUUGAUUUAUAGCCUACCUUUAGCUUUUUAUCUCUGGUGACUGAUUUAGGCUUCAAAAUUCAUAAAAGUUGUGUUCAUAUGUGAAAAUUAUCUUGAUGGACAAAACGUGCAAUUAUAAUAAACUUUCGUUAAUCACAGAGCUUUUUUUUUUUUUUUUUUUUUUCGUUAAUCAAAAAGCCUAUGGAAAAAUCCUAUUGGGUUUUUGUCGAGGGAACCAGCGUGAUGCUAACUGCCGUUUGGCCUACAAAGUGACGUCAUAUCUGCGCCGAAAACUCUGAACCAUUCAUUUUAAUGUGAUUUUAGUGUGAAAUGUUUGCUAAUAUUUUCUGUAUGAAGUUAAAUAAAUUUACUAAGUUGCAGUGACAAUGAUCUGCCAUAUACUGUACAGUGAAACCCUAAAUCAACUGUAAAAAUGACUUCAGAUCAAAUAAUACACCGGUUUUAACAUAAGAAUUGAUGUACUGAUUUUGCUGUGGUCAUAAUUAUGACGCUGUCUUCAGUUCACGCAAAUGACUGCACAAGUCUAAAACCAAAAAGAGCACAUUUGGGAUAGAGUAAAGAGGCCUUAUGUUUUGGAAAAUCAGCAUGGACUGAAAUCAUUUUUGGAUCCAUGUUAGGGAAAAUUCAGGCUAUUCUGGAAGUGUUUUCUUUAUAAAUACAUAAGUAUACACAGCAAUAUGUGUAUUUUAGAUGGGUGCACAACGCACUUCAUCAAAUGAAAUGUAAACAAGCUGUGGAUCAGCACUUCUGUUAAUUGACUCUCUUGGUAUAUGAUUGUUUUGAGCACAGGAACACCUUGUUCCUUUCCUCACCGCACAGCUCUGUUUUUGGCACAGGGCGGUUCCAAAAAAAAAAAAAAAAAAAAACCAUGUGGCAAACAGGUGCACUUGCCUAACUGCCUUACACCACCAGGUGGCCCUAAAUUGCCACAGUAGAGUAAGGCCCACCACCAGUACUCUAGGAAGCCUGACAAGAGCAAUGUGUUGAUAAUCCUAGUGCCACAUUUAGAUUAUAGUGCAUGGCAUCUGUUUGUGAGGGGCAUGAAGCAAUGGAGGAGAGCAGGACGGGACAAACCUCUCAAAUUACACAAGGCAAUGAGGACACAAACCACAAAUGAAGGAACCCACACAAGGUUAGCUGUUUAUCGUACUGUUCUGGCAAAUGUUAUGGAGAAAGAAUGGACAAACUUGUGUGCAUCAGCUGUUUGGUGAUGGACGAAUGAACCAGCCUUUUGGCAAAACACCAGUACAAGAUAAAGGUGUGUGACUGCUUUUCCCAGGGGUCCAUAUGCUGUCACGCUGUGAAUAGUAAAAAGGAUCUCCCUUUCACCUGUGGAAAAUUGAUACAAUCCUGCUGUGAAUUGCUCCAUCCUUUUGGAAAUUGCUCCAGACUAUCAGAGAUUUCUCUGAAUGUAGAGAGAGCUUCAUGUAUCUGUUUUCCCCCUCAUUGUUUUGGCUCAUUGCAAUCAGUUCACUAUCACUGCUUGUUAGUGUCAGCAGCACCCAUGAGCUGCUCUCGUAUGAGUGAUGUAGCGUGUCAGAGUUUUGAAUGCUCUUAAAGGUCCCAUAUACUGUUUUAUGUCCAGCCACUAUUUUUCAUCACGCAUGGCUGCAUAUGUCAGAUGUCAUGUGCCACUGCACAGCGCAAUUGUCUGUGCAGCCUCAGAGCUCACACAUGUUGUAUCUGUCAUGUAAGAGUGAUGAUUACUUGAAAACAGGAAGAGCUCUGCUCUUUCCCAGAUUAACCUUUGCUUAUUGUGCAUAUCCACCUUAUUCCUGACAAGCCUACAGCGUUUUGAAUUAUGGGUGGCACUUCCAGUUUUGGGAAACUUCCAUUCAAAAAGACUGAAACGAAUCAUUUCAAAUCAUAAGGUUGCCCUAUAAAUAAAGCUUAUUCUUCAGUUUGAUGUCAGUUAUGCUUUUUUCGUAAGUUCAAUAUGGAAGAUGAGGAUGUAGCGUAAGCUUUUUUGAACUGCGAGAGCCGUUACACUUUCUUCGUAAGAUGAAUACGGAAGGAGAUAUUUUACUUUAUAACUUGUUAAAUAUGGAUAUUUUUCUUACACAAACACAUCGCUUCGCUUCAGAAGCCCU